rnacentral:rRNA from 1 species
UACGUAGGGUGCAAGCGUUAAUCGGAAUUACUGGGCGUAAAGCGUGCGCAGGCGGUUUUGUAAGUCAGAUGUGAAAUCCCCGGGCUUAACCUGGGAACUGCGUUUGAAACUACAAGGCUAGAGUGUGGCAGAGGGGGGUGGAAUUCCACGUGUAGCAGUGAAAUGCGUAGAGAUGUGGAGGAACACCGAUGGCGAAGGCAGGUCUCUGGGCUGACACUGACGCUCAUGCACGAAAGCGUGGGGAGCAAACAGG